UGCCACAGAAUUUGUUUGUGGCUGCCAUUUGGGUCUAUUUGUGAAGAUUAAUAUACUGAUGAUUGCUGAGUAGCUUCAGGGUUACAGGAGGAAGGCAGGAAUAUCGUGUUGGAAUAAAAAUCAGUCGUGGUUGAGUGGUGGAGCAGACCAGAUGGAUUGAAUCACCUAAUUCUGUUCCUGUGUCUUAUGUCUUACCGUGAGUGAAUGAUGGAUCCUUCUAAUCCCGUAUCGUCUGUGACACGUGAGGGACAAUAAAAGAUUGUUCACUGAGAUCAUUAUAUUUGCCUUCAAUGUUUAAAUUUCAGUGAGUUUUGUUCCUAGUAACAUUAAGCUGAUAUGUUUGGUCCUCCUUUUCAUUGUUAACGUGCUUCAUUAUCUUUUAUGUUAAAGUUAGACCUGCAGUGAGAGAUUUAUUGGAAACAAACCACAACUGAAGACGUGGGAACAGCAACAAGUGAACCAGCCCGAGGACUGAGAGCACCGACUGGAGAGAACCCAUCUGACUCGGAGAUUCCAGUGAUUCAAUCAGGAGAAAGUUGGCACCCCAUAUGGGACCACAGUUUUCACUCCUCCUCAGAGGCAUCCCCCUGAGAAGAACAAAACUCGAGGUAGCUGUAGAGCGGUUAAAAAAUGACAAGGAAUUUGUCUACAGGAAUCUCAAACAGAACAUACCAGUUUUGCUGUCUCUAUCCAGAUAUUUAAGAAGUGGAGCAAGGGAUUCACUCGAUCAUCCUUCCCGCUCAGACUGUGGGGAGGGAUUCACUCGAUUAUCAUUCCCGCUCAGACUGUGGGGAGGGAUUCACUCGGUCAUCCUUCCCACUCAGACUGUGGGGAGGGAUUCACUCGAUCAUCUGACCAACUGGCAUGCCCGUUAUUUUGCAGAGGGUAGAUGCCAUUCAUCUGCUCAGACAGUGGCAAUGGAUUCACGCGGACAUUUUAACU